rnacentral:rRNA from 1 species
UCGAGGAUCUUUCGCAAUGGGCGAAAGCCUGACGAAGCGACGCCGUGUGAGCGAUGAAGGCCUUCGGGUUGUAAAGCUCUUUCGCUUGGGAACAAGAGAGAAGUACAAAUAGUGCUUUGAUUUGAGGGUACCAGGUAAAGAAGCACCGGCUAACUCCGUGCCAGCAGCUGCGGUAAUACGGAGGGUGCAAGCAUUAAUCGGAUUUAUUGGGCGUAAAGGGCGCGUAGGCGGAUUGUUAAGUCGGGUGUGAAAUUCCGAGGCUCAACCUCGGAGCUGCACUCGAAACUGGCGAACUAGAGGAAAGGCGGAGAAAACGGAAUUCCACGUGUAGCGGUGAAAUGCGUAGAUAUGUGGAGGAACACCUGUGGCGAAAGCGGUUUUCUAGCUUAAUCCUGACGCUGAGGCGCGAGAGCAAGGGGAGCAAACA